rnacentral:rRNA from 1 species
UCAGCAGCCGCGGUAAUUCGUAGGGUCCGAGCGUUGUCCGGAAUUACUGGGCGUAAAGAGCUCGUAGGUGGUUUGUCGCGUUGUCCGUGAAAACUCACAGCUCAACUGUGGGCGUGCGGGCGAUACGGGCAGACUAGAGUACUGCAGGGGAGACUGGAAUUCCUGGUGUAGCGGUGGAAUGCGCAGAUAUCAGGAGGAACACCGGUGGCGAAGGCGGGUCUCUGGGCAGUAACUGACGCUGAGGAGCGAAAGCGUGGGGAGCGAACAGGAUUAGAUACCCUGGUAGUCCACGCCGUAAACGGUGGGUACUAGGUGUGGGUUUCCUUCCUUGGGAUCCGUGCCGUAGCUAACGCAUUAAGUACCCCGCCUGGGGAGUACGGCCGCAAGGCUAAAACUCAAAGAAAUUGACGGGGGCCCGCACAAGCGGCGGAGCAUGUGGAUUAAUUCGAUGCAACGCGAAGAACCUUACCUGGGUUUGACAUGCACAGGACGCUGGUAGAGAUAUCAGUUCCCUUGUGGCCUGUGUGCAGGUGGUGCAUGGCUGUCGUCAGCUCGUGUCGUGAGAUGUUGGGUUAAGUCCCGCAACGAGCGCAACCCCUAUCUUAUGUUGCCAGCGCGUCAUGGCGGGGACUCGUAAGAGACUGCCGGGGUCAGCUCGGAGGAAGGUGGGGAUGACGUCAAGUCAUCAUGCCCCUUAUGUCCAGGGCUUCACACAUGCUACAAUGGCCGGUACAAAGGGCUGCGAUGCCGUGAGGUGGAGCGAAUCCUUGAAAGCCGGUCUCAGUUCGGAUCGGGGUCUGCAACUCGACCCCGUGAAGUCGGAGUCGCUAGUAAUCGCAGAUCAGCAACGCUGCGGUGAAUACGUUCCCGGGCCUUGCACACACCGCCCGUCA